GUCGUGGUGGCCGAGUGGUUAAGGCGUUUGACUCGAAAUCAAAUGGGCUCUGCCCGCAUAUGUUCGAAUCCUGUCCACGACG
rnacentral:tRNA from 1 species